rnacentral:rRNA from 1 species
UUGGCGGACGGGUGGAGUAACGCGUGGGGAACCUGCCCUGUACAGGGGGAUAACACUUAGAAAUAGGUGCUAAUACCGCAUAAGCGCACGGUCCUGCAUGGGACAGUGUGAAAAACUCCGGUGGUGCAAGAUGGACCCGCGUCUGAUUAGCUGGUUGGCGGGGUGAAGGCCCACCAAGGCGACGAUCAGUAGCCGGCCUGAGAGGGUGGACGGCCACAUUGGGACUGAGACACGGCCCAAACUCCUACGGAAGGCAGCAG